AAUCGAACAUAAAAGCACGCGCAGGUGAAUGCAUCUCUAAUGGUGCCAGUCGGAUGAAAAUAGGAGUUUCAAGAGGCAAUCUCCAGAACUGCAUGCAGGGGACAAUCACGGUACAUGGCCACAAGAGAAAAUGGGCUUGGAUCUUGAGCCUUCAGCUGCUUAGUCCCUAGGAAGAAGUGCUGUCCCUUUAACAGCCAGCCACUCAUGAGUUUGCCUCACUCUGCUUUGGGGAAGAGCCAGGCGAACUGAGCCUGUAGAACCGUAUCUUGGUAACUAACACACACACACACACACACACACACACAGAGCUGCUAACAUUGAGGGGAGGGGAAAGAAGGAGGGGCUGUCACAGGCUGGGAGCCGUGAGAUCAGAUGUCAGCAGCUCAGGGAGACAUUCCCAGGAAGGGAAAAGUGCUGCUCAUUCAUCACCCUGCGCUGGGACAGCCUGGACCACAGCUGCUCUUGUGGAGAGGAAGCAACCCAGGAAGGGAGCUGCUGGGGACCCUGUCGAUGUCUCCCAACACCAGGGGUUAGUGACCAAGCAGAGAAAAGUUCUUCCUUAUUAAAGCCUCCAGGCAAGACCAUUUCCUUGGUAGAUCACAUCGGAUCCCUUCCCAUAAUGGAAG
rnacentral:lncRNA from 1 species